GACGAACGCUGGCGGCGUGCUUAACACAUGCAAGUCGAACGGAAAGGCCUUUUCGGUGGUACUCGAGUGGCGAACGGGUGCGUAACACGAGGGUGAUCUGCCCUGCACUCUGGGCUAAGCCUGGGAAACUGGGUCUAAUGCUGGUACGGAACGCCCACUUGAGAGAGUGGUGGAAAGUUUUAACGGUGUAGGAUGAGCCCGCGGCCUAUUGGCUUGUUGGUGGGGGAAAGGCCUACGAAGGAGGGGACGGGUAGCCGGACUGAGGGGUUGGUCGGGCACAUUGGGACUGCGAGACGGCCCAGACGCCUACGGGAGGCAGUGGGGGGGAAUCUUGCCCAAUGGGCGCGAGUCUGAUGCGGCGAUGCCCCGUUGGGGAUGACGUGCUUCGGGUUGAAAACGCCGUUCGCCAGGGACGAAGCGUUUUGUGACGGUACCUGGAGAAGAAGCACCGGCUAACUACGUG
rnacentral:rRNA from 1 species